rnacentral:rRNA from 1 species
GUGAGGAAUAUUGCACAAUGGGCGCAAGCCUGAUGCAGCAACGCCGCGUGCGGGACGAAGGCCUUCGGGUCGUAAACCGCUUUUCUGGGGAAAGAGACAGGACGGUACCUCAGGAAUAAGUCUCGGCUAACUACGUGCCAGCAGCCGCGGUAAAACGUAGGAGGCGAGCGUUAUCCGGAUUUACUGGGCGUAAAGCGCACGCAGGCGGCUCUGUAAGUUGGACGUGAAAGCUCUCGGCUUAACCGGGAGAGGCCGUUCGAUACUGCGGGGCUUGAGGUAGGGAGAGGAAUGCGGAAUUCCUGGUGUAGUGGUGGAAUGCGUAGAUAUCAGGAGGAACACCUGUGGCGAAAGCGGCAUUCUGGCCCUCACCUGACGCUGAGGUGCGAAAGCGUGGGUAGCAAACAGGAUUAGAAACCCCGGUAGUCC